AAAACAAGAACCAAAGGAAGAACAAAGAAAGAAAAAAAAGAACACAAACCCUAGGUGGGAAAAUUGAAGAAAAAGUGUGGGAUUUCAAGGGAUUAAGCUAAUAAAGGUAAAAUUUUAUGAUUUUAUCUUGUGAUUUUUAUUACCCAUGCUUUCUUUUUCAUAUUCCGUGCUUAGAACUCAAGUUUGCAUGAUUAACCCAUGUUGGCCGAAUUUGAGAGGAGAGGUUUUGAGCAUUGAUUUUGCUAGAUUUCAAGUUAAUUAAGUGCUUUUGGUUGUUUGGUAAUGGAAAGUAUGAAAAUCUAGCAAGGAAUCACUUUGUUCUUCACAAACCCACAAGAGGCCAAAUUUUCUUGGGAGGAUAUUGAGGUUGAAAUUGAUGAUAUUUCAUGAUAUUUUGGUGGUAUUUAAUGAUUAGUGAGGCUAGAAAUUUAAUGGAAAAUUUUGACAUGAAAAUCUAAAUUUUUACCUAAUGUAUAGACAUGUGCGAUUUAUGGUUCAAACUGAUAAAUUGAAUCAUAUUCACAGUCAUUGAGGUAUUUUAAGUAUAAUUGGAGUGUAGAAAGUGAAAGAAAUCGAUUUGGAAUUAAAUUGGAGGUUUUAGCCAAUUACACCGAGAAUAGUGCGAAUUAGGUUGAAUACCGUAUUUAAACGGCUAUUCAGACAUUUUGCAUCACAUUUCGUGCAUUCAUAUAGAUUUAUAGAGCUUGAAAUAGUUUAUGAUAAAUUGACACAAAUUAUUGAAAUUCGUGUCACGUAUGAUGUAUAGGUGGUGAAUCCUCCGCUAAGGGCAAAGAAAUUGUACCCGAGGAUCGAUAGUCAAAGUACUAUAGAAAUUCGACUCCCAAAAUAGUGAGUAACCUUAUCAUCAUUUUAAUUAUCUAAAGUGGUCUUUUUAUUCAAUUUUGUGAAAUUUAUGAAAAAUGAGUUCAAAUGGUAAAUUUUUAGGUUUUAUAAACAAAAUGUGUUUAAAUGAAAAGAUUUUAUAAAUUGUCUUAAAAUUGAAUGAUGGCUUUGAAAAUAGAGUAACUGGAUACCACUUGAUGUGUUGUAAUUUAUGAUUCUAAUUGAUGGCUUAUGAUAAUGUGUUGGCAUGACUGAUUGGAAUUGUGAUUUGUGAACUGUAUGAAUUGUUCUGUUUUACAUUUACAGGCUGGGUAGUAUAAUAUUAGUCAUGUCAUGUUGUCAAAAUUUUAUUGUAUGGUGGGUUUAGCUUGCUGCAGUGGGUGGGUACUGUGGACUAGCCUUUUUGAGGGGCACGGAAUCCGAUUAUAUAUGUACCUCGGUCAGAGAGGCGCGUAGGGUAUCUCAUGAGGUAUGGCUAGAGUUCAUGUCACACCGAACCACCUCGUGAUGAUGAACUCUGCUAACGCCAAGGAACGGCUGUGUUUUUAAAAUAAAAACAUGUUUACGUGUAUACAAACUUUUUAACAACCUUGGCAGGCUCGGUUAAAUACCUCGGCCAAGGUAUUCUCGAGAAUGAUUUUGGCAGGAGCCAAGCUUUUAUGAUACUCAUAAGCCAUGUUGAUUAUUUAAAUGAAAUGAAUAUUUAUGUUAUGAAUUACAUAUUGAGAUGGAAUAUUUUAAUCGUCUCCAUUUACUCGACUUUAGAUUUUUUAAAUAGUGUUUGUUUACUCACUGGGAUUAUAUAAUCUCACCACCCUCUUUUCCACCCAUUUCAGGUUCAGAAUAAGCUGUAGAUAGCUAAUUUCAUCGAGGGCUAUCAUUGGAUUUGCAUUCUCUAAACUGUAGGUUCACAGUCUUUUCUUAUUUUUGGUUAUUCGGGGGCCCACUAGUUAUUGUAAAUUAAGUUAAAUACUCUGACUUACUGUAUUACAGUAUGUAUGAAUUUAUUUAGCUUUUACGCUACAAAAAUUAUUUACCGG
rnacentral:lncRNA from 1 species